AGAUAUGAGCUAUAACACAAGACAACAAUUUUGCGGUGAUAUUUCGACUCUAUUUCAAAGUCAUUGUCAAUAGAGUCGAAAUAUCACCGCAAAAUUGUUGUCUUGUGUUAUAGCUCA
rnacentral:miRNA from 1 species